CAUACGGGCAGGUGGGCAGAGCCUGUAACAAUGCGCGUGGGCCAAGGUGAGCGGGUCACGACCUCGCCAGGCCUCACUUCCGGCCGGGUAAUCAAGCACCCAAGACGUGCCAUCCUCGACUCUACCCGAACCAGCCUGCAGAAAGGACAGCGUGGUGCAGCGGUAAGCCGAACCCCUGACUGACGAAGUUUGCUUUCAUCGAAGCAGACUGGAGGAGUUUACACCAAGGGAACGAACGCCUUGGAGGGACUCUGAAGCCACCCUUGACCUCAAGGCCGUUCGGAACACGCUUGUGUUCCCCAGAGAGAGGUGUCAUCACGCCACGUCUUCCCCAAGAUGAAUCCGAAGACACCGCUCCGUGUUCGUGUAGCGUCUGCGUGUCUCUUCCACAUACAUUACGUACACUCGAACACCUACACUCCGUAAUGUUAUACAUAAACAUACAUAACAAUAGGAGGGCGGUUUAAAUCUGACGAUAUUUCGUCUUGCAAAAGGCACGGGAAAGUUCAGCUGGUGCAGGAGUUUUUCCCCUAAGCUAGAUUCUUAAUAUAAAUACGGGGUUUUAUCCUCAUGAGCCACCUGAGCUUCCACCCGAAGACCCUUUUAGUCUACACACACCCUUUUGUAGCUAGUUAGACUUAUAAUUUUUUUUUUCUUCCCUGAAAAAAGUCCUCGUUUGUAUGGGAUAAUGUGAGAGCACAGGAGCACUAGAUUUUUGAGAGGGCAAUAAAUUACCGCACUCUCAUAGAAGAGAACCAUUUACCAUGCGGGCAGGUGGGUGGAGCCUGUAUCAAUGCGCGUGGGCCAAGGUGAGCGGGUCACGACCUCGCCAGGCCUCACUUCCGGCCGGGUCAUCCAACGCCCAAGACGUGCCAUGCUCGAUUCCAUCCGAACCAGCCUGCAGAAAGGACAGCGUGGUGCAACGGUAAGCCGAAGGCCUGACUGACGAAACUGGCUUUCAUCGAAGCAGACUGGAGGAGUGAGUACACCAGGGGAACACCUUGGGUGAGUUAUUUGUGGUAAGGCCUGUUCUCAAGCGCAUGUCCAGUCGCCCAGCGACCACAUGGUCGUCGCUCCUUAUCGAGUGAUAUAGUGCGUAGUGGCAGCUAUUUACCUCCGUGAUCCAGUAAUUUAACGUAAAGCUGUGCUCUUACAAUGUAGCUUAAUUCUUCCUCAUUCGGUGCCCACGUGGUCACAUUGUAGUGUUUCUAGGGUAAGGACCGGGCAUUGGCCUCACUUCCGGAGGAAUAAGUAUUUUUUUUGUGUGCCGCUCACGCGCCACUGAGUGUAGUUUAAGCUAGCCAGGCCUUCAUUGUAGUUACUGUGUAAAUAUAAAUAAAAGAUUUAUAACUGU